UACGAAGGGGGCUAGCGUUGCUCGGAAUCACUGGGCGUAAAGGGUGCGUAGGCGGGUUUUUAAGUCAGAGGUGAAAUCCUGGAGCUCAACUCCAGAACUGCCUUUGAUACUGAAGAUCUUGAGUCCGGAAGAGGUGAGUGGAACUGCGAGUGUAGAGGUGAAAUUCGUAGAUAUUCGCAAGAACACCAGUGGCGAAGGCGGCUGUCUGGUCCGGUUCUGACGCUGAGGCGCGAAAGCGUGGGGAGCAAACAGG
rnacentral:rRNA from 1 species